rnacentral:rRNA from 1 species
UUUUAUGGCAUCAUUUAAAUAAUAAAGUUUACGGUGUAAGAUGAGUAUGCGUCCCAUUAGUUUGUUGGUAAGGUAACGGCUUACCAAGACUACGAUGGGUAGGGGCCCUGAGAGGGGGAUCCCCCACACUGGUACUGAGACACGGACCAGACUCCUACGGGAGGCAGCAGUGAGGAAUAUUGGACAAUGGAGGAGACUCUGAUCCAGCCAUGCCGCGUGCAGGAAGACGGUCCUAUGGAUUGUAAACUGCUUUUAUACAGGAAGAAUAAGGACUACGUGUAGUCUGGUGACGGUACUGUAAGAAUAAGGACCGGCUAACUCCGUGCCAGCAGCCGCGGUAAUACGGAGGGUCCGAGCGUUAUCCGGAAUUAUUGGGUUUAAAGGGUCCGUAGGCGGGCUGUUAAGUCAGGGGUGAAAGUUUGCAGCUCAACUGUAGAAUUGCCUUUGAUACUGAUGGUCUUGAAUUAUUGUGAAGUGGUUAGAAUAUGUAGUGUAGCGGUGAAAUGCAUAGAUAUUACAUAGAAUACCGAUUGCGAAGGCAGAUCACUAACAAUUGAUUGACGCUGAUGGACGAAAGCGUGGGUAGCGAACAGGAUUAGAUACCCUGGUAGUCCACGCCGUAAACGAUGGAUACUAGCUGUUUGGAUUUCGAUCUGAGCGGCCAAGCGAAAGUGAUAAGUAUCCCACCUGGGGAGUACGUUCGCAAGAAUGAAACUCAAAGGAAUUGACGGGGGCCCGCACAAGCGGUGGAGCAUGUGGUUUAAUUCGAUGAUACGCGAGGAACCUUACCAGGGCUUAAAUGUAGAUUGACAGGUUUAGAGAUAGACUUUCCUUCGGGCAAUUUACAAGGUGCUGCAUGGUUGUCGUCAGCUCGUGCCGUGAGGUGUCAGGUUAAGUCCUAUAACGAGCGCAACCCCUGUUGUUAGUUACCAGCACAUUAUGGUGGGGACUCUAGCAAGACUGCCGGUGCAAACCGUGAGGAAGGUGGGGAUGACGUCAAAUCAUCACGGCCCUUACGUCCUGGGCCACACACGUGCUACAAUGGUAGGUACAGAGAGCAGCCACUUAGCGAUAAGGA